rnacentral:rRNA from 1 species
ACGGAGGGUGCAAGCGUUAUCCGGAUUCACUGGGUUUAAAGGGUGCGUAGGUGGACAUUUAAGUCAGUGGUGAACUCUUUGGGCUUAACCCGAAAACUGCCAUUGAUACUAUUUGUCUUGAAUUCUCUGGAGGUAAGCGGAAUAUGUCAUGUAGCGGUGAAAUGCUUAGAUAUGACACAGAACACCCAUUGCGAAGGCAGCUUACUACGGAGACAUUGACACUGAGGCACGAAAGCGUGGGGAUCAAACAGGA